UCGGGAUAGCUCAGUUGGUAGAGCAGAGGACUGAAAAUC
rnacentral:tRNA from 4 species